GGGAGCUUGCUCCUGGUGGCGAGUGGCGAACGCCCUGAGUAAUACAUCGGAACGUACCCUGAAGUGGGGGAUAACGUAGCGAAAGUUACGCUAAUACCGCAUAUUCUGUGAGCAGGAAUGAGGGGGAUCGCAAGACCUCUUGCUUUACGAGCGGCCCAUGUCGGAUUAUCUAGUUGGUGAGGUAAAGGCUCCCCCAGGCGACUAUCCGUACCCGGUCUGAGACGAUGAUCCGCCACCCUGGUACUGACACUCCGCCCCUUACUCCCCACUGGAGUCAUCAGUGGG
rnacentral:rRNA from 1 species